GGCGUAGGCGGCUCGUCAAGUCAGCUGUGAAAUCUCCCGGCUCAACUGGGAGGGUGCAUUUGAUACUGACGGGCUAGAGUGCAGCAGAGGAAGAUGGAAUUCCCGGUGUAGUGGUGAAAUGCGUAGAUAUCGGGAAGAACACUAGUGGCGAAGGCGGUCUUCUGGGCUGUAACUGACGCUGAGGUCCGAAGGCGUGGGGAGCAAACAGGAUUAGAUACCCUGGUAGUCCACGCAGUAAACGAUGGAUACUAGGUAUGGGGAGUAUCGACCCUCUCCGUGCCGAAGCUAACGCUUUAAGUAUCCCGCCUGGGGAGUACGGUCGCAAGACUAAA
rnacentral:rRNA from 1 species